UUCCAUCAGUGGACAAUGCCGUCAUGUCGUUUGGUUCCGACACAAGUAGCACAGCCAUGUCGAGUAUCAAUGUUUCUAGACAUCAUAUAACUUUCAUUCCCUUCAAGGUUUGUUUAACACCGUGUCACGCUUUGGGAGACCGGUUUCUCUUCUAUAUAAACACGAAUGUCUACUUUAGCUGGCUGAACGCCAAACACAAACCAAACCUACAGAACCUUUGAGAAAUUGGCCACUUGUUUCAGACCGACGACUGACCAAUGCAAUCAGUCAACUGACCAGAGUAAGCACUGGCCACGUGCCGUGAGCAGACGACAGUCGCCCCUCCGCAGAAGUCAACUGCCAGGUGAGAUGUCUACACGAAGUAGUUCCCCUAAUGACGACCUUCACCAAUAUACCCAGGAAAGCACCUCCGUCGGAGCUGUUGGUGCGAUAGCUGCUGUAUGAGGGGAUGUUCCUGUCGUAGCUGCACACUAUACACAAGAACCCCUAGACUAUACUUUGUAAAGGUGGGACAAGAUUGGUGCGUGCUAACCUCGAUAUCAUGGAUUAGAUCAUGUUUGUACUUUUUGUCUAGUUUCAAUCAUAAAUAUUGUCCACUGCAUAAAUGACUUCACAUAACAAUAUUCCAGUAUAUAUUUUCUUGUUUUUCUUUUUGUUUUGUUUUUUGUGUGUUUGCUUUGAGAAUAAUGUUCAUUUUCAUAAUGUGGUUUUCUUAUUCAAAGUUCACUCUUUAGCUUCGAUUACCUUAUGAUGGCGUGACGUCAUAAUUGGAAUGGCGGACACAUAUACAGUUAUACUUACUCGUGCUUGUGCAAAUCAAUGCCUAUUUCUAAUACACAUGGCACAUUUAUCGCCAUUCUACCUACGUUAGUAGUAAUUCCAGAACUUAAACAGUCAAUGGUCCUAUUUGCCAUGUUUGUUUAAACCCAUACAGACACGACGGAGGCCUAAUAAUAACCAGGUAAAUAUUCCCUCAAGGUAAUUAGUCUAGUGUUAUGAUGAGCCAAUUCCUAGGCCUUCCGUUGUUACUGUCCUCACAUAUAUUUGCACAUGCGCAGUACAUGCACCAGAUUCUCAGUGCCGCUUGUCUGGGAUGGUCAUCGUUAAAAAUAUUCCCUCGUUUUUUUGGCCAUUUUUUCUUAUGCCGUUUUUGAUCUUGUAUUGCAAGAGAUUUCCCAGCGUCAAAGGUUGGACAAGUUUAAACAACGUGGCAGCAGAUCAUCUCCCUAUGUGUGGGCUGCUUGCAAACUGUUGUCACAUUAAACUUUAUUGUACUUUUUCCCUCCGUCCCAUGAAAAGUGUUAUUGUAGCGAAGCCCGUAGUCGGUAAACACGCAACUCGGGAUGAAACAAAGUGGAAUUCCAAACAUCGGCGCGCUCUAAAGCAGCAGUUGUCAAACACAGCAUGUAUAGCAAACACGAGCGUGUAUCAUUUCGCCUAUUGUUUCACCUUAAACAAAUAGCUCUCCACAGAAAGGGAUGUGAUCUCGUAGCGCCGUUUGCUCGGGUCCUCGGCUCAGCACUAACGAGACGGAGUGACAAAGACCAUAAACCGAAAAUCACAAUGGCCUCCACAACGAGGACAAGCAAUUCAAGGUAUUUCGGGCAGUAAAUCAUACAUCUCUCGUCAUCUUUCAGUUGUCAAAACGCCGCCAGGAUGAAAGAAUAAUCAUCAAGAUUGAAUGGCAUCCCUUGCAUGAUUAACAAUGGCAAUGCAUUUUUAAAGCUGGAAGCUGUACGUGUGUAUACAGCGGGAAGAAUAUGGUCUGUUCCCUGAGAAUGUCACGACUACAGCCGUUGCCAAGGGUAGGCUUGGCUGGUACCGCUACCAUAUGCCAGUGAGUGGAGACUGGUUCCACUUGCCUAUGGUACUGUCAACCGAGGAACCAUUGAUUACCAUGGUGUCUCCUGGGAUAUUUCUAAUUGAUCUCCAAUAGCAGUUUGGUGCGAUCUACCACAACUUACUGCAGAUCAAUGGAAUAAGAAAGUCCAUUCAUUUAGUCGUGGUUUCUCAUAUUGAUGCAUAAAUGACCAAAGGAUUUACAGAUAUCUGCCUUAUUUCCAUUUACACCGUUGCCUAGUAACUGAUGAAAUACAUGUAGUUCUGAAUAAAAUAUUUUGAAAAUAGA